rnacentral:rRNA from 1 species
UAUGGAAUCUUCCACAAUGGACGAAAGUCUGAUGGAGCAACGCCGCGUGAGUGAAGAAGGGUUUUCGGCUCGUAAAACUCUGUUGUUAAAGAAGAACAUAUCUGAGAGUAACUGUUCAGGUAUUGACGGUAUUUAACCAGAAAGCCACGGCUAACUACGUGCCAC